CUAUAAUGCAGUCGAGCGGACCAAAAUGAAAGUUUACUUUCAUUUUGGUUAGCGGCGGACGGGUGAGUAACACGUGGGUAACCUGCCUGUAAGACUGGGAUAACUCCGGGAAACCGGGGCUAAUACCGGAUAACUUCUUUCCUCGCAUGAGGAAAGAUUGAAAGAUGGCUUUUGCUAUCACUUACAGAUGGACCCGCGGCGCAUUAGCUAGUUGGUGAGGUAACGGCUCACCAAGGCAACGAUGCGUAGCCGACCUGAGAGGGUGAUCGGCCACACUGGGACUGAGACACGGCCCAGACUCCUACGGGAGGCAGCAGUAGGGAAUCUUCCGCAAUGGACGAAAGUCUGACGGAGCAACGCCGCGUGAGUGAUGAAGGUCUUCGGAUCGUAAAACUCUGUUGUUAGAGAAGAACAAGUACCGUUCGAAUAGGGCGGUACCUUGACGGUACCUAACCAGAAAGCCACGGCUAACUACGUGCCAGCAGCCGCGGUAAUACGUAGGUGGCAAGCGUUGUCCGGAAUUAUUGGGCGUAAAGCGCGCGCAGGCGGUUUCUUAAGUCUGAUGUGAAAGCCCACGGCUCAACCGUGGAGGGUCAUUGGAAACUGGGAGACUUGAGUGCAGAAGAGGAGAGUGGAAUUCCACGUGUAGCGGUGAAAUGCGUAGAGAUGUGGAGGAACACCAGUGGCGAAGGCGACUCUCUGGUCUGUAACUGACGCUGAGGCGCGAAAGCGUGGGGAGCGAACAGGAUUAGAUACCCUGGUAGUCCACGCCGUAAACGAUGAGUGCUAAGUGUUAG
rnacentral:rRNA from 1 species